rnacentral:misc_RNA from 1 species
UCCCGGUUGGCCCGGGCAGUCUCGUUUGAAAAAUACAACAAACGAUAAGGGUUGCGCUCGUUGCGGGACUUAACCCAACAUCUCACGACACGAGCUGACGACGGCCAUGCAACACCUGUCAUCUGGUUCCCGAAGGCACAGCACUGUUUCCAGCGCCUUCCAGAGAUGUCAAGCCUCGGUAAGGUUCUUCGUGUAGCUUCGAAUUAAACCACAUGAUCCUCUGCUUGUGCGGGUCCCCGUCAAUUCCUUUGAGUUUUAAGCUUGCGCUCGUACUCCCCAGGCGGGAUGCUUAACGCGUUAGCUUUUUAGCCCAAGGGGUCGAUACCUCGAACUAAUAGCAUCCAUCGUUUACGGCGUGGACUAC